rnacentral:rRNA from 1 species
CAGUCGCCGCGGGAAAACGUAGGUGGCAAGCGUUGUCCGGAAUUAUUGGGCGUAAAGGGCUCGCAGGCGGUUUCUUAAGUCUGAUGUGAAAGCCCCCGGCUCAACCGGGGAGGGUCAUUGGAAACUGGGAAACUUGAGUGCAGAAGAGGAGAGUGGAAUCCCACGUGUAGCGGUGAAAUGCGUAGAGAUGUGGAGGAACACCAGUGGCGAAGGCGACUCUCUGGUCUGUAACUGACGCUGAGGAGCGAAAGCGUGGGGAGCGAACAGGAUUAGAUACCCCUGUAGUCCCUGUCUCUUAUAC